rnacentral:rRNA from 1 species
UACGAAGGGGGCGAGCGUUGUUCGGAAUUACUGGGCGUAAAGGGCGCGUAGGCGGCCGAUCAAGUCAGAGGUGAAAGCCCAGGGCUCAACCUUGGAAUUGCCUUUGAUACUGGCUGUCUUGAGUUCGGGAGAGGUGAGUGGAAUGCCGAGUGUAGAGGUGAAAUUCGUAGAUAUUCGGCGGAACACCAGUGGCGAAGGCGACUCACUGGCCCGAUACUGACGCUGAGGCGCGAAAGCGUGGGGAGCAAACAGG